rnacentral:lncRNA from 1 species
UGAAUUGAUGAUAGUUGUAUGAUUGUUGGUGAAAUUACAUGUUCAAUUAUGUAAAAAUGUGAAGUUGUGAAAAUUGUGCUCAAUUGGUGAAUUUUGCUAAGUUGUUGUUGAAUUGAGAUAUGAUUCAUGUUCAAUUGAUGUUAUUGCUGUUAAUUGAUGUUGUUGUUGAUGAAUCAUUGCUUGGGUCUACAUAUUCAUGAAUUGAUGAUGAAAAUUUGAAUUGUUGUUGGUGUUUUGGUAUAUUUUGAAGAGUUUGGUGAAUUGGCUAAAAGUGAGGUUGAUUUUCAUGUUCAAUGUGUUUUUGAGUACUCUUAUGAGUUAUGUGACCUAUAAACAAUUUCUGAAAACACAUUUGGGCAUUAGGGGAUUAAAAUGGGGAGUUUUGGGUGAAAAUGGGUUGGAACCCGUAACUUUUUCUGGAAAAAUAUGCAUGGUCGCUUAAGCGAGCUCCUAAGCGAACACUCAUAGUGUUUUUUGGGUAUUGGUCGCUUAAACGAGCUGCGAGCGAGCGGGAAAGCGUACAUUUCUGUAGCUUCUGUAACUCGUUCGCUUAAGCGAACCAGGUGGUCGCUUAAGCGAGCUGCAAGCGAGCUGGGAAGCGUAUAUUUCUGUAGCUUCUGUAACUCGUUUGCUUAAGCGAACCAGGUGGUCGCUUAAGCGAGCAAUUCAUUUUCCAGCACUUUGAAUUUUUGGUUCCGAGCUUCCUAGGGCCAAUCCGAACUUCUUUAAACACUUUUUUUAACUUGUAUAAUCACUGUUUGUACAAUUAAUCCUACUGGAACAUCUCCUUGAAUGAGAUUUGGACUUGUUUUGUGAAAUUGAAUCAAACUUUGAAAAUUGUCCAAGAACGUUGAAUUUUUCGGAAAUUGGAUCUUCAAGGAAAUGAAAUGGGAUUAAGAUAGUACAAUGAUUAUAUGAUUACUGAAAAUGGUUGUGAUUGGUUUCCUUGAGUCUUAAUUGGUUUGGGUUUUGAAAAUGGGAAUUCUUGGUAAAUGUCAAGAGAGACGAACAUUGAUGAAAAUAUCCUUUUAAGCCAAUCACCUUACGAAUCUUUCUUGUUUAGUUUUGUAUGACUAAAUGGAGAUGUAUGAAUGAAUUACGAGAUGUUGUAUGUUUUCUUACUUGGUAUGUGAGAAAUAUUGUAAUGAUGUGAUUACAUAAUGUUGAAGAUGUUGAAAUGAUAUUGAUGAUCAUUGUAGUUGUUGUGAUGACACUUGAUUGAUAUGUGCUAUGUUGAUUUGUGUGGACGUAAUUACUUGAUAAUGCAAUUGUUGUUGGAGUUGUGCAAUGUAAUUGGA